UAUUCCGCGAUGGGGGAAACUCUGACGCAGUGACGCCGCGUAUAGGAAGAAGGUUUUCGGAUUGUAAACUAUUGUCGUGAGGGAAGAAAUUGACAGUACCUCAGGAGGAAGCUUCGGCGAACUAUGUGCCAGCAGCCGCGGUAACACAUAGGGAGCAAGCGUCAUCCGGAUUUAUUGGGUGUAAAGGGUGCGUAGACGGGAAAUUAAGUUAGUUGUGAAAUCCCUCGGCUUAACUGAGGAACUGCAACUAAAACUGAUUUUCUUGAGUACUGGAGAGGAAAGUGGAAUUCCUAGUGUAGCGGUGAAAUGCGUAGAUAUUAGGAGGAACACCGGUGGCGAAGGCGACUUUCUGGACAGUAACUGACGUUGAGGCACGAAAGUGUGGGGAGCAAACAGG
rnacentral:rRNA from 1 species